rnacentral:rRNA from 1 species
UGGGGAAUAUUGCACAAUGGGCGCAAGCCUGAUGCAGCGACGCCGCGUGAGGGAUGACGGCCUUCGGGUCGUAAACCUCUUUCAGCAGGGACGAAGCGCAAGUGACGGUACCUGCAGAAGAAGCACCGGCCAACUGCGUGCCAGCAGCCGCGGUAAUACGUAGGGUGCGAGCGUUGUCCGGAAUUACUGGGCGUAAAGAGCUCGUAGGCGGUUUGUCGCGUCGUCUGUGAAAUUCUGCAGCUUAACUGCAGGCGUGCAGGCGAUACGGGCAGACUUGAGUACUACAGGGGAGACUGGAAUUCCUGGUGUAGCGGUGAAAUGCGCAGAUAUCAGGAGGAACACCGGUGGCGAAGGCGGGUCUCUGGGUAGUAACUGACGCUGAGGAGCGAAAGCGUGGGUAGCGAACAGGAUUAGAUACCCUGGUAGUCCACGCCGUAAACGGUGGGUACUAGGUGUGGGUUCCAUUUCACGGGAUCCGUGCCGUAGCUAACGCAUUAAGUACCCCGCCUGGGGAGUACGGCCGCAAGGCUAAAACUUAAAUGAAUUGACGGGGUCAUAGCUGUUUCCU